rfam:Xanthobacter autotrophicus Py2, complete genome.
AGACCGAUCCGGGCCCCUCUGGCGCAGUUCCGCUGCGCGAUGUCGGAUCACCGCG